AUUGAACGCUGGCGGCAGGCCUAACACAUGCAAGUCGAGCGGAUGAAGGGAGCUUGCUCCUGGAUUCAGCGGCGGACGGGUGAGUAAUGCCUAGGAAUCUGCCUGGUAGUGGGGGAUAACGUCCGGAAACGGGCGCUAAUACCGCAUACGUCCUGAGGGAGAAAGUGGGGGAUCUUCGGACCUCACGCUAUCAGAUGAGCCUAGGUCGGAUUAGCUAGUUGGUGGGGUAAAGGCCUACCAAGGCGACGAUCCGUAACUGGUCUGAGAGGAUGAUCAGUCACACUGGAACUGAGACACGGUCCAGACUCCUACGGGAGGCAGCAGUGGGGAAUAUUGGACAAUGGGCGAAAGCCUGAUCCAGCCAUGCCGCGUGUGUGAAGAAGGUCUUCGGAUUGUAAAGCACUUUAAGUUGGGAGGAAGGGCAGUUAGUUAAUACCUUGCUGUUUUGACGUUACCAACAGAAUAAGCACCGGCUAACUUCGUG
rnacentral:rRNA from 1 species